rnacentral:rRNA from 1 species
CAGCAGCCGCGGGAAUACGAAGGGUGCAAGCGUUACUCGGAACUACUGGGCGUAAAGCGUGCGUAGGUGUGGUUUAAGUCCGUUGUGAAAGCCCUGGGCUCAACCUGGGAAUUGCAGUGGAUACUGGGUCACUAGAGUGUGGUAGAGGAUAGUGGAAUUUCCGGUGUAGCAGUGAAAUGCGUAGAGAUCGGAAGGAACAUCUGUGGCGAAGGCGACUAUCUGGGCCAACACUGACGCUCAUGCACGAAAGCGUGGGGAGCAAACAGGAUUAGAUACCCCGGUAGUCCCUGUCUCUUAUACA